CUACUCGCUUCGGCAGUACAUAUACUAAAAUUGGAACGAUACAGAGAAGAUUAGCAUGGCCCCUGCGCAAGGAUUAAAGAUGCGUUGGAAAAUACUAAUGGCUCGGUUUAUCUUUUUUU
rnacentral:snRNA from 1 species